GUCUGACAGUUUUUGAGGGUUCCAAAGUGAUGUGAUUGGGGGAGAGGUUUGGCCCAUGCUUUCCUGGUUUGUGCUCUGGCCUUUACCUAGCAAGAACCACUUAUCCCUUGGGAAUGCAAUGGAUCCUGCUCCUCACGGUCCCUGUUCCUUCUUGUCAGAAUGUUCUCCUCUGUGCCCUUGAACUGUGACCUGGAAGUCUGUAUAGACAAUGGGGUGUCCAAAUAGCUUCCAAGUUGUUCUCAUGGAAUAGUUGAAGCUUCCCUUGCUACUUACAUUAAAUGUUCACAUUCUCUUUGGGAUUAUAGGUCCAACUCCCAGACCCUUGAACCCACUGUACUUAAAGCAAAUAGAGGAGUUCCUAAUUCAGGCAGCGUCCUGGACAGCGGUUUGGCAACAGCCUUCUGGGAUCUCUGAAUCCCUCCAUCUAGGUGGUUCAUUGGCAGGAGGUGUUGAUCUCCUAUCAAAUUUCUUCCAAACCGCUUUCCACAUAUGCCAUCGGUUUGUUUUUCUUUUUCCAUCAACUACAAGCCAUUCUUGUUUUCUGUAAGUGGACCAUUGGGCAAGCCUGUAAGUAAAAGGAUUUUGAAGUAAUGUGAAUU